AGCCGCAGCCCUGGCGAAUUAGCUCUCUGUGCCCACGUGUCAGCAUUGUAGAACAACAUGAACAACAUCCCAGUAACACACGGAUGGUCCUCUCCAAUCUGCAGAUGAGAAAACUGAGGCCCAGAGAGCGAAGAGAUUAUCUAGCAUGUCUAAUAGAGCAACAAGUCAUGUCCCGUGGCUCCACGCCUGCCAUUCCACAGCACACCAAAAUCAACCACAAGCCUGUGCUGCCAGCCUCACCCAUGUCAAGGGUGGAGAUGGGGCCAUUGCUCUCGCCCUGUGUUUCUGCAGCCCUCUGUGCUGUCUUCACCACAGGACUGGAAGCUCUGGGGGGGCAGUGCAGAACUCAUUUGACUUGGGCACUAUAUUGGACACUCAGAAUUUACCGUAGUUCUGCACAGAGCAGGCACCCUGUGGGCAUGCGCAGAAGGAAGGAAUAAGUACAUCAGAUGUUAGACUGUGUGCAUGGGUGUCAUGUAGUUUAGUGAAUUUCUGUGGCGAUACGGUGCUCCCAUGAGGUCAGGGAUCCACAGAUUGGAAAUCAUGGAUUUACAUUUACAUUAUGUGCCCAGUGUUUUGUGCCAUGUUCAUCAUAGAGAACUUUGUGUUCAGUAGACCACAAACUCGGCUCUGGGGGCAGACAAUUGAUGGCAGGGCCUAGAUGUCCUUUCCAACAUGGAAAGUCCAAGGAGAGGACAGAACGCUUUGCUUUCAAGAAGGCUGCAACUUCCUGACGCCCACGGGACAGGCAUGCUGAUGACAGCUUCUCUCAAGAGCCAGCUUCUAACAUUUGUAGGAGCAAAACAUAAGAUAAUCUGCAGGAGCCCGUAGGCAGUCUGGUUGUUAUUUCAACCCAAAACAGGCCUGCAAACUUACUUUGCCUGUUUCCUCUGUCAACGUAUUUGUGUGGAGUGUUGAUAACCGAAGUGACACACAGUAAAUAGCCUUUGUUUUGUAAGACAUUUGCUGUGAGUGGGGUUGAGCAGGGAAAUAUAGGAGUUGAAAGAAAGAAUGCAUGGUCUAAAAUAUGUGCCUGUGUAUGUGCCUCACAGUGUGUGUGAACAUUUAAACGCCGACAUCUCUCUUCCCUCUUUAGUUAACAGCUUCUUUGCUUGAUGCUCCCGGUUCCUUUUUAUAGUCUCCAAACAAAGAGGAACCUAUACUCCAGGUGUGCACAAAUCAAGCAGGUUUCCUAUUUAAGAUUCAGAAAUUCAUAGCCCUGAGGAAAUGAGUUAAAGAGAGGAGAGGACAGAGCAAGAGACAUGAAAAACAGAAUCUUCACCACCUGCUAUUUAGUGAUUAGCUCCCCGAUAAGCAAGGCAGAGAAGCAUUCCAGGAGCUCAGGGCUUGCCCAGGCAGGGCUCAGAGAAGGAGGUCUCGGAGACAGAAGCUGGGAGAUGGAGGGGAGGAGGGCUCCUAAAGCAUCUGCUCUCGCUUCUCUCCCCAGCUCCUCCAUUUCACACAGCUCUUACAUAUUUGAGUCCUCUUUCUAUUCCCCUUACCUCACCUGCCUUGGUGUAGGGUAG
rnacentral:lncRNA from 1 species